rnacentral:rRNA from 1 species
GGCUAACGCUGGCGGCGUGUCUUAGCCAUGCAAGUCGAGCGGACUUAUGGGGUAACUUAUAAGUCAGCGGCGGACGGCGGAGUAACACGUAGCUAACCUACCCUCUGGACGGGGAUAACCUACCGAAAGGUGGGCUAAUACCCGAUGUAGUCAUCCUGUAUAGGGGUGAUGAAAGGUGGGCUUCUGUUUACAAGCUCAUGCUGGAGGAGGGGGCUGCGGCCUAUCAGGUAGUUGGUAGGGUAAUAGCCUACCAAGCCGAUGACGGGUAGCCGACCUGAGAGGGUGAUCGGCCACAUUGGAGCUGAGAUACGGUCCAAACUCCUACGGGAGGCAGCAGUGGGGAAUAUUGGGCAAUGGGGGAAACCCUGACCCAGCAACGCCGCGUGAAGGAAGAAGGUUUUCGGAUUGUAAACUUCUGUCCUUGGUGAAGAGAAGAAGACGGUAGCCAAGGAGGAAGCCCCGGCUAACUACGUG